GGGGAUGUAGCUCAGUGGUAGAGCACUUGCCUAAAACGUGUGAAACUCUGGGUUCACACCUCAGUCUCCACA
rnacentral:tRNA from 1 species